rnacentral:rRNA from 1 species
UACGUAGGGUGCAAGCGUUAAUCGGAAUUACUGGGCGUAAAGCGUGCGCAGGCGGUUAUGCAAGACAGAUGUGAAAUCCCCGGGCUCAACCUGGGAACUGCAUUUGUGACUGCAUAGCUAGAGUACGGUAGAGGGGGAUGGAAUUCCGCGUGUAGCAGUGAAAUUCGUAGAUAUUGGGAAGAACACCGGUGGCGAAGGCGGCUCACUGGCUCGUAACUGACGCUCAUGCACGACAGCGUGGGGAUCAAACAGG